AACGCGAAGAACCUUACCAGGUCUUGACAUCCCUCUGACCGUCCUAGAGAUAGGGCUUUCCUUCGGGACAGAGGAGACAGGUGGUGCAUGGUUGUCGUCAGCUCGUGUCGUGAGAUGUUGGGUUAAGUCCCGCAACGAGCGCAACCCUUGAACUUAGUUGCCAGCACGUAAUGGUGGGCACUCUAGGUUGACUGCCGGUGACAAACCGGAGGAAGGCGGGGAUGACGUCAAAUCAUCAUGCCCCUUAUGACCUGGGCUACACACGUACUACAAUGGCCGGUACAACGGGUCGCGAAGCCGCGAGGCGGAGCCAAUCCCAGCAAAGCCGGUCUCAGUUCGGAUUGCAGGCUGCAACUCGCCUGCAUGAAGUCGGAAUUGCUAGUAAUCGCGGAUCAGCAUGCCGCGGUGAAUACGUUCCCGGGCCUUGUA
rnacentral:rRNA from 1 species